GACACACCUGUAGGCGCAGCACAUAUCCGCUGUGAGCACAAUGCGAGACAGGAAACUGAAAAAACAGCCCAGGGAAGGAGAGAGGCUCCCGUUCGUCCCUCCUUCCCUCCCUCCCUUUCUCCCUCCCUCCCUCUGUCCGUCCUCCUCCUUCUCCUCUCUCCACCCCCUGCCCCCGGUCAGGAUCCGCUUGCAGCGCUGUCUCAUGCAGGGAGAUCCAGGCAGAAGGCUGGGAGGCGGCAGGAGCCGUACUUUCUCCCCGUUUUCCUUUCCCUGUCUGCGCUUUGUUUUGCCCGGCAGCCAGGCAGAGGCCAGCUCGGCGAAGCGGGGCCGCCCGCGGGGCCGAGCGCUCCCGGAGAACCGGGGCCGCUCCGAGCCCCGCCGGGGGACCGGGGCCGGGCCGAGGCUGCAGCUCCAGCGCUGCGGGCACCGAGCCCCGGCCGGCCGUGAGCCCUUGGGGUGAAGAGCGGGGAGCGGCGGGACUGCCGGGAACUGCCUCCGGGCCGGGGUCGGCGCUUGGCCUCCGCGGCGCUCUCCAGCGGGGCGACGGCACCGCUGGGAAAGGGUCUGCCUGCUGGUCUGUACCUGAGGGCCUUGGGGUACGUGUCGUAUCCCGGUGGUGUUCUGAGGACGCUCCUGGACAUGAAGGAACAUUUUAAUUCCCACCCCUUAUCUCCUGAGCAGCGUCUCUGAGCACCCAGACUUUUCCUCCCUUCUUGUACACCCUUGUGGAUGAGAGGCCCAGAAUAUGUCACUGGCAUCACUUUUACUGAACUUGAAGUACUCUGGGGUUUAUCCCUGUAAGAUCAACAGAGUUAUUGCAGAGCUCACUUCCCACCUGUUGUGAACGCGGCAUCACUGUGCUGCAGCAUCUCCACGUUCAGAUGUUACAUUUGUCUCAACUAUAGCUAAUGUAAGGAUAAUCUAUUAAAGGAGGGAUGUCUUAGGAUAAUGGCUCAGGUAAGCUUUGGUCAGGAUGUUUAUACUUUGUAACUUUCCAUCAGUGAAAUGUGGACCAGCAGUGUUUCAAGGAGUAAUUAAUUAACUGCUCUUGGCACUUUGAGUGCAGCUUCAUUAAAUGCUGUGUGUUGUGCUCCUACUAAAACACCGGAGACAGGCGGUCUAAACGCCAUGCUUCCCAAACAGGAAGCUGCUGAAAAGUUACCUUUGCAUCUCAAAACAGCCACAAAUAAAAAAAUAAAUUAAAAUCAGCUCCAAAAACCUGGGCAAGAAUAAAGUUAUACUUUUGGAAGAGAUGUUAAAAGUGGCUUUCAGACCCUGUCUGUGCAAAGUGCCACUGCAGACUUAACAGUGGGUUGGGAACAUUCAAACAUUAUAUAGAGUUUUGUGGGGUUUUCCCUUUGGGAUUGCCCAGGGGAGGCAGACUGUGCUGGCCGAAUUUUGCCAGUCUGGCCCAGUUAGUGUGCUAACCUCUACCAGUAGGCCCUUGUCCUUGUUUUUUGGCUUCCUUCCUGC